AGACCCCAUGAACCUUUACUGUAGCUUUGCAUUGGACUUUGAACCGAUCUGUGUAGGAUAGGUGGGAGGCUAUGAAACCGGAACGCUAGUUUCGGUGGAGCCGUCCUUGAAAUACCACCCUGGUUUGUUUGAGGUUCUAACCUUGGCCCGUGAUCCGGGUCGGGGACAGUGCAUGGUAGGCAGUUUGACUGGGGCGGUCUCCUCCCAAAGCGUAACGGAGGAGUACGAAGGUACGCUAGGUACGGUCGGAAAUCGUGCUGAUAGUGCAAUGGCAUAAGCGUGCUUAACUGCGAGACCGACAAGUCGAGCAGGUGCGAAAGCAGGUCAUAGUGAUCCGGUGGUUCUGUAUGGAAGGGCCAUCGCUCAACGGAUAAAAGGUACUCUGGGGAUAACAGGCUGAUACCGCCCAAGAGUUCAUAUCGACGGCGGUGUUUGGCACCUCGAUGUCGGCUCAUCUCAUCCUGGGGCUGUAGCCGGUCCCAAGGGUAUGGCUGUUCGCCAUUUAAAGAGGUACGUGAGCUGGGUUUAAAACGUCGUGAGACAGUUUGGUCCCUAUCUGCCGUGGGCGUUGGAUAUUUGAAGGGGGCUGCUCCUAGUACGAGAGGACCGGAGUGGACGAACCUCUGGUGUACCGGUUGUCACGCCAGUGGCAUCGCCGGGUAGCUAUGUUCGGAAGAGAUAACCGCUGAAAGCAUCUAAGCGGGAAACUCGCCUUAAGAUGAGAUAUCCCUGGGGACUAGAUCCCCUUGAAGGGUCGUUCGAGACCAGGACGUUGAUAGGUCAGGUGUGUAAGCGCAGUAAUGCGUUCAGCUAACUGAUACUAAUUGCCCGUAAGGCUUGAUCCU
rnacentral:rRNA from 1 species